GGACUACUCGGGUUUCUAAUCCUGUUCGCUCCCCUAGCUUUCGCGCCUCAGCGUCAGUUACCAGCCAGGACACUGCCUUCGCCUUUGGUAUUCCUCCGGAUAUCUACGCAUUUCACCACUCCACCCGGAAUUCUAUGUCCCUCUCUGGUCCUCAAGUUGAACAGUUUUUGAAGGCCUUGCUCAGUUAAGCCGAGCACUGUCACUCCAAACUUACCCAACCGCCUGCACGCCCUUUACGCCCAGUAACUCCGGACAACGCUCGCCCCCUACGUAUUACCGCGGCGGCUGGCAC
rnacentral:rRNA from 1 species